rnacentral:rRNA from 1 species
UGAACGCUGGCGGCAUGCCUUACACAUGCAAGUCGAACGGCAGCGCGGACUUCGGUCUGGCGGCGAGUGGCGAACGGGUGAGUAGUACAUCGGAACGUACCCUGUUGUGGGGGAUAACUAGUCGAAAGAUUGCUAAUACCGCAUACGACCUGAGGGUGGAAAGUAGGGGGACCGGCAAGGCCGUCACGCAGCAGGAGCGGCCGAUGUCUGAUUAGCUAGUUGGUGGGGUAAAGGCCCACCAAGGCGCGAUCAGUAGCUGGUCUGAGAGGACGAUCAGCCACACUGGGACUGAGACACGGCCCAGACUCCUACGGG